ensembl:snoRNA small nucleolar RNA SNORD113/SNORD114 family
UGGAUCCAUGAUGAGUGUCUUGGGGUGUCGGAAUUAAGGAUUCUGAUUAAACUCUAGAGCUCUGAGGUCGUU